rfam:Lupinus angustifolius cultivar Tanjil chromosome LG09, whole genome shotgun sequence.
UAGGCUUUAAUUUUUUCGAGGUUUUGCUUGCACUGUGUGAUAAGUGUGCUUGUUAAAGUUUUAUUGAAGCCGAGAAUUGUGUUCCCCUCGCUAUCCUGUGCUUCAAUUUGUAUGCUGUAUUAGGACGUCGGGGUACAAAAUUA